rnacentral:sRNA from 1 species
UUUUUUUUUCCUUUUUU